CGCAUCUGUGCAUGCAGCAUAUCAAUAAGCGGAGGAAAAGAAACUAACAAGGAUUCCCCUAGUAACGGCGAGUGAAGCGGGAAGAGCUCAAAUUUGAAAUCUUAAAGGGUUUCCCUUUACGAAUUGUAGUCUAAAGAAGUGUUUUCUGUUGAGGUUUUGGUAAAAGUUCUUUGGAAUAGGGACAUCAUAGAGGGUGAGAAUCCCGUAUUUGACCUUUACUUUCAACUUUGUGAUACACUUUCAAAGAGUCGGAUUGUUUGGGAAUGCAGUCCAAAAUGGGUGGUAAAUUUCAUCUAAAGCUAAAUAUUGGCGAGAGACCGAUAGCGGACAAGUACCGUGAGGGAAAGAUGAAAAGAACUUUGAAAAGAGAGUUAAACAGUACGUGAAAUUGUCAAAAGGGAAGCGUUUGACACCAGUGUUGUUUUUCUGAAAAUCAAUUAAAGAACUGUUUAUGCUAAGCUGUUUAGACUUUAUCAGCUAAUCUGUUUAGUUUUGAGCUUUUCUUUAAUGCACUUUUCAGUUAACAAGUCAACAUCAAUUUCUUUUGCUGUAAAAAAGCUUGAGGAAGGUGGCUUGAGAUUCGUCUUAAGUGUUUAUAGCCUCUUGCCUAUGCAGUCGGAGAGAUUGAGGUCUGCAGCGUAGAUCCUUCGGGGCUAAAUGCAUUUGUGCUAAGUUAUAGCAUUUUAUAGACAACUUGUUGACUAUGAUUUGUCUUGUAGCUUACUCGCUUAUGUUAUUUUACCUACGCUUAGGAUGUUGAACGCGCACAGAGUCUC
rnacentral:rRNA from 1 species